rnacentral:rRNA from 1 species
UACGUAGGGUGCAAGCGUUGUCCGGAAUUAUUGGGCGUAAAGAGCUCGUAGGCGGUGUGUCGCGUCUGCUGUGAAAACUCAGGGCUCAACUCUGAGCUUGCAGUGGGUACGGGCACACUUGAGUGCUGUAGGGGAGACUGGAAUUCCUGGUGUAGCGGUGAAAUGCGCAGAUAUCAGGAGGAACACCAGUGGCGAAGGCGGGUCUCUGGGCAGUUACUGACGCUGAGGAGCGAAAGCAUGGGGAGCGAACAGG